rnacentral:rRNA from 1 species
UAGAGUUUGAUCAUGGCUCAGGAUGAACGCUAGCGGCAGGCUUAAUACAUGCAAGUCGUGGGGCAGCGCAGGUAGCAAUACUGGGCGGCGACCGGCAAACGGGUGCGGAACACGUACACAACCUUCCGAGAAGUGGGGAAUAGCCCAGAGAAAUUUGGAUUAAUACCCCGUAACAUAACGAUGUGGCGUCACUUUAUUAUUAUAGCUCCGGCGGUUAAAGAUGGGCGUGCAACUGAUUAGAUAGUUGGCGGGGUAACGGCCCACCAAGUCUGCGAUCAGUAACUGGUGUGAGAGCACGACCAGUCACACGGGCACUGAGACACGGGCCCGACUCCUACGGGAGGCAGCAGUAAGGAAUAUUGGUCAAUGGACGCAAGUCUGAACCAGCCAUGCCGCGUGGAGGAUUAAGGCCCUCUGGGUUGUAAACUCCUUUUAUCUGGGAAGAAAUGUGUUUUUUCUAAGACACUUGACGGUACCAGAGGAAUAAGCACCGGCUAACUCCGUGCCAGCAGCCGCGGUAAUACGGAGGGUGCAAGCGUUAUCCGGAUUCACUGGGUUUAAAGGGUGCGUAGGCGGGCAGAUAAGUCAGUGGUGAAAUCUUCGAGCUUAACUCGGAAACUGCCGUUGAUACUAUUUGUCUUGAAUAUUGUGGAGGUAAGCGGAAUAUGUCAUGUAGCGGUGAAAUGCUUAGAUAUGACAUAGAACACCAAUUGCGAAGGCAGCUUACUACACAAUGAUUGACGCUGAGGCACGAAAGCGUGGGGAUCAAACAGGAUUAGAUACCCUGGUAGUCCACGCCCUAAACGAUGAUUACUCGACAUACGCGAUAUACUGUGUGUGUCUGAGCGAAAGCAUUAAGUAAUCCACCUGGGAAGUACGAUCGCAAGAUUGAAACUCAAAUGAAUUGACGG